GAUCAUGGCUCAGGAUGAACGCUGGCGGCGUGCUUAACACAUGCAAGUCGAGCGAAGCACUUAGGAAAGAUUCUUCGGAUGAUUUCCUAUUUGACUGAGCGGCGGACGGGUGAGUAACGCGUGGGUAACCUGCCUCAUACAGGGGGAUAACAGUUAGAAAUGACUGCUAAUACCGCAUAAGACCACCAGCACCGCAUGGUGCAGGGGUAAAAACGUAACCGGUCGGUAGUGAGAUGGACCGCCG
rnacentral:rRNA from 1 species